AAGGAGCUUAUUGGUGCUGCCUGCUGCUGCUGUGUGUUCCUAGCCUCUAUGCGCUGGUAUCUAGGAUUAGAAAUGCUGCACAUUAUUUAUCAAAACAUUUCUAAACAGUACCCAAUUCUGAUGGAAACCAGUCCUGGAAAUCUCCACAAAAACUCUGGCCUGGCUCAGAGCGAGGCAAAGAAUCUAGUUCAAAACAUUAUUUGUUUUCUAUAGAGCUCUAACGGUGUGCAUGAAGCAUUUUAGAAGCAUCUACAGCCAAAACAAGGAGCCACCUCUCAUUCCAUAACUGGCUUCGACCCCUUUAGGGCAGUAAUAAUCCAUUUGUAUUUACACACAGCCCAACAUAAGAGGGCUCAACGUGGACUGGGACCAAUGGAUGCUACAGUAAUAAAUAGCAGCAGCAGGCGAAACUCAGAACCCUGAAGUCUAGACAAAUGCAUUGAUUUUCAUCUUUGUUUUAAAAUGUACUCCUCUGCAUUUAUCACUCUUACCUUGUGUUCUGUUUAUUUAUUGUAUCCACCUGUUGUUGCUUGUCUUUUACUUGGACUGUAAGUUAUUGGGGGCUGGAACAUCUUUUUGUUAUAUGUUUAUAUAAUGCCUGGCACAAUGGAGCCCCGCUUGGGAUCUAUGGGUGAUAUCACCAUGUAAAUAAUAGUAAUACUCUGUCAUUUGAAAAAUCUACAGAUAUUCUAGAUUUAAAAAAGCCAACAUUUCAGUUCCCUUUUAAUACUAGGAAGCAAAAGGAAAGCCUAAUGACACCUGCAGUCUCGUACCGCACUGACAAGCCAUCAUUUCUAUACUUUUAAGUCUCACAGAUGUUUCUACACGGAGGUUUGUUGGACUUGCAACGAAUAGGUGCACUCGGGUCCCUACCAUGCUAGACCCGUUUACUGCUCCUCAAACGGCAGCUUUAGGGAUAGGGUCACCAGACAGCAAGUGUGACAAAUCAGGACGGGAGUGUGUGUGGUGGGGGGGGGCGGGAAAUAGGCGCCUAUAAGACAAAGCCCCAAAUAUCGGGACUGUCCCUAUAAAAUCAGGACAUCUGGUCACCCUCAGGGACCUCGCUCCCGACCCCAGCCACUGUAACGCUCGAAAGGCUUUUCUGCCCCAGGGCCCGAGCCUGCAAACAGCCACACGCCGGAGCAGCUGGUCGGGCCAUUGGGAUCCAUGGGGCAGCCCCGGGCCGGGCCGGGCCGGUCGCCCCCACUCGUGUGAGCGAGGGGGCAACUCUCCCGCGGCAAGCACCGGCGCGCCCCCCUUGUCCUGCUGCGAACCCCCACCCCGGGCACCCCCUUGCCGCAGCCCGGAAGCGGCCCUGCGGGGCUCAGCUUCAACCCCUUCCCCGGCGAGAUCAGCCCCCGCCCCGGGCUCGGAGCCUGGCGGACAGGCGCUGAACGUGUCGGGAUGGCAGGGCGGGAAGCGACUCGCCCAGGGGCUCCCGGCCGGAGCGAGCCCAGGGAGCGCAGCCCCUGAGCCGGGGCCCGGCCCCUCAGAAGCGGCUGGGCCUAGCCCGGCUCUGAGGGAGGCCUCCGGCGGGAGGAGCUCACCGCCAGCUUCCCGCCGUGCCCUCCAGGUCUGGCUAAUCGAGCGCCGAGCAGCCGGCUGCUCGGGAAUCGCUUAGUCACGGAGGGGUCGUUGCCUAGUAACCGGGUGGCUCCGGGCCCCGCCCCUCGCUGGGAAGAUUCUGUGGGAG
rnacentral:lncRNA from 1 species